UACGAAGGGGGCUAGCGUUGUUCGGAAUUACUGGGCGUAAAGGGCGCGUAGGCGGUGUGUCAAGUCAGGCGUGAAAGCCCCGGGCUCAACCUGGGAACAGCGCUUGAGACUGGCACGCUCGAGUUCGGGAGAGGAUGGUGGAAUUCCCAGUGUAGAGGUGAAAUUCGUAGAUAUUGGGAAGAACACUGAUGGCGAAGGCAGCCAUCUGGACCGACACUGACGCUGAGGCGCGAAAGCGUGGGGAGCAAACAGG
rnacentral:rRNA from 1 species